GACGAACGCUGGCGGCGUGCUUAACACAUGCAAGUCGAACGGAAAGGCCCUGCUUUUGUGGGGUGCUCGAGUGGCGAACGGGUGAGUAACACGUGAGUAACCUGCCCUUGACUUUGGGAUAACUUCAGGAAACUGGGGCUAAUACCGGAUAGGAGCUCCUGCUGCAUGGUGGGGGUUGGAAAGUUUCGGCGGUUGGGGAUGGACUCGCGGCUUAUCAGCUUGUUGGUGGGGUAGUGGCUUACCAAGGCUUUGACGGGUAGCCGGCCUGAGAGGGUGACCGGCCACGUUGGGACUGAGAUACGGCCCAGACUACUACGGGAGGCAGCAGUGGAGAAUAUUGCACAAUGGGCGGAAGCCUGAUGCAGCAACGCCGCGUGCGGGAUGACGGCCUUCGGGUUGUAAACCGCUUUCGCCUGUGACGAAGCGUGAGUGACGGUAAUGGGUAAAGAAGCACCGGCUAACUACGUG
rnacentral:rRNA from 1 species